rnacentral:other from 1 species
AUUAAGCUGCGUUGUUCGUUGACAUAUUAAGUUUUAACCUUUGAACUGAAAUAGGGAGUUCUAGAUCGAAGAUGGAAUGGCGGGCGUCAUCCACAUGGACUGACGAUAUACAGGAAAUCUUCUGCGGACACCCACCUGGUGGAGUUGUGGUUUUAAAACUCUAAUAUUCCGGCAAGGCAGCUUACAU